UGAGCAUAGAGCGAACUAUUCUUUCGCCUUUUACUAAAGAAUACCGUGUGCUCGCCGUCCAGACUGGCAUACGCUUAUUUUUGGAGCUUUAAUUCUUUCAUUGGAAUGGCCCCUCAAAUUUUAGUUUAUUUAUUUUUUAGUGUUCUUCUCGGCUCUAGAUCCAGAUCCUCUCAAAUAUUCGUUAUAUAUAUUUGAAGUACAUAAAAGCUCUUGCUGGAAAACCCACAAAGAUGGCAACGGAAUUUGUUGAUUUUGUCUUCAACAUUUUGUCAGUCUGUUGGCACUGCCGUCACUGUCGUAAGGCUCCCUACUGGAAAAGGAAUGGUGGGACGGCCUUGGAACCCUUAAUGCCAGCAUUGAAAAUUUUGGGUGAUAGCUACAUGGAAUCAGCAGCAAACAAAGGCACCCUUUUAAAGCCUAUGGUUUUGUAACUAUGGUGCUAAUAAUGUACCACUCUUGUUUCCAAACAUGCAAUUCUCCACAUCCA